UACGAGUGCCCCAAGCGUUAUCCGGAAUUAUUGGGCGUAAAGGGUGUGUAGGCGGUUGUGUUAGUCUCAUGUCAAAUUCUUCGGCUUAACCGGGGUACCGCAUGGGAUACGGCACAACUAGAGGAUGCGAGGGGUGAGUGGAACUCAUGGAGUAGGGGUGAAAUCCGUUGAUAUCAUGGGGAACACCGAAAGCGAAGGCAGCUCACUGGCGCACUCCUGACGCUGAAACACGAAAGCGUGGGUAGCGAAUGGG
rnacentral:rRNA from 1 species